rnacentral:rRNA from 1 species
GGGGGGGGGGGGGGGGGGGGUGAGCGCAUGCAAGGCGAACGGGGAGGCCGGCUUUCCCUUGUGGGUUGCGGGUAGUCGAGUGGCGAACGGGUGAGUACCACGUGAGUGAUCUGCCCCCAACUUGGGUAUAAGCCUGGGAAACUGGGUCUAAUUCCCGAUAGGACUGCAGGGUGGUGCCUGUGGUGGAAAACGAUUUUCUAGUGGUUGGGGAUGAGCUCGCGGCCUAUCAGCUUGUUGGUGGGGGAAUGGCCUACCAAGGCGGCGACGGGUAGCCGGCCUGAGAGGGUGGACGGUCACAUUGGGACUGAGAUACGGCCCAGACGCCUACGGGAGGCAGCAGUGGGGAAUAUUGCACAAUGGGCGGAAGCCUGAUGCAGCGACGCCGCGUGGGGGAUGACGGCCUUCGGGUUGUAAACUCCUUUCGACCGCGAGGAAGCCACCUGGUUGGAAGGGUGGUGACGGUAGUGGUAGAAGAAGCACCGGCUAACUACGUG